GGCCGAGGUCCUGUUUUUCUUUUCCUGCUUUUUUCUUUUUUCUUCCAGCCUCUUUUCGCUCACAAUCUGGGUCUGGUUACAGUUCACUGUUCACUGAAGCGCGACUGGAAUGCCGAAUUCAGUCCAUUAUUCUCAUUAGAAGAAACAAAAGUAUUUUGCAGGAAUGUUCUUUAAUAAAUCAUUGCUUGAGGAUAAGCGAGUUCCAGCUUCACGUCUGACUGAGAGCGCUGACACUGGAGACUUCUUCCACGCAUCACACAGAAAUUCCAGAAAACUUCAUUAAUCCGUUUAUGUGAGGCUUCUGCCGUACACACCCGUGAAUGAGCCGUUGCUAUGGAAAUGAUAGGGCGUUAGCUCUAGAACACCUGAACCGUCUACUCUGGUAAUUAGCGGCAGCGGCAGCGGCAGCAGCAGUGUGCUACAGCGGAGCAAUCACGGCGGAAUUCUCCGGGACGAGCGCUGGGAAGGAUUCUCGGCUUCAGUGCCGGAGAAGAAACACAGCUGAUCCAGUCCUCAGAUAAUUAUUGAGCUCGUUAUGAGAGUUAAAGCUGAAACUGGGUGAGAAGGAGAAUAAAAAGCAGUAGCAUGCAGAUGGAGGGCAGCAUCACGGGCCAGUUGUGUAACCUGAACUGAUCCGCUGUGGCUCUGUAAUGUCUCUUCUGGUGUAAAUAUACUUCAGCUACACGGACAGGUCGUCGAUACACACUUCUGUCAGAUCUGUUCAGACUUCGGCGUGGUUCAAUAACGCAAUCUGAUCUUCAGUUUGUUCUUCAUCACCAUCUCUGAUGAUGAAAUGUUGGAAAGAGUAAACACAGAUAAAAGCAGACAGAAACCAUGCUGAAGUUCAGCGCAGAGCUGAGGGUGUGCUGUGUAGUGGUUGUGUAGUGUAGUGUAAGGGUAGUGGUAGUGGUAGUGUUGUGUGGUGUGUUGGGUUGUGUUGGUGUAGUGUUGGUGUAGUGUUAGGUUGUGUUGUGUAGUGUUGUGUUGUGUUGGUGUAGUGUAGUGUAGUGUAGUGUUGUGUUGGUGUAGUGUAGUGUAGUGUAGUGUAGUGUUGUGUUGUGUUGGUGUAGUGUAGUGUAAGUGUAGUGGUAGUGGUAGUGGUAGUGUUGUGUUGUGUGUUGGGUUGUGUUGGUGUAGUUUUGUGUUGUGUUGGUGUAGUGUUGGUGUAGUGUUAGGUUGUGUUGUGUAGUGUUGUGUUGUGUUGGUGUAGUGUAGUGUAAGUGUAGUGGUAGUGGUAGUGGUAGUGUUGUGUUGUGUGUUAGGUUGUGUUGGUGUAGUUUUGUGUUGUGUUGGUGUAGUGUUGGUGUAGUGUUAGGUUGUGUUGUGUAGUGUUGUGUUGUGUUGGUGUAGUGUAGUGUUGGUGUAGUGUAGUGUAGUGUUGUGUUGGUGUAGUGUAGUGUUAUGUUUUUUGUUGGGUUGUGUUGGUGUAGUGUAGUGUUGUGUUGGUGUAGUGUAGUGUAAGUGUAGUGGUAGUGGUAGUGUUGUGUUGUGUGUUGUGUUGUGUAGUGUAGUGUUGUAGUGUAGUGUUGUGUUGGUGUAGUGUAGUGUUGGUGUAGUGUAGUGUUGUGUUGUGUUGUGUUGGUGUAGUGUAGUGUUGUGUUUUUUGUUAGGUUGUGUUGUGUAGUGUUGUGUUGUGUUGUGUUGUGUUGUGUUGUGUUGGUGUAGUGUAGUGUAGUGUAGUGUAGUGUAGUGUAGUGUAGUGUAGUGUAGUGUUGUGUUGGUGUAGUGUAGUGUAAGUGUAGUGGUAGUGGUAGUGUUGUGUGUUGGGUUGUGUUGGUGUAGUUUUGUGUUGUGUUGGUGUAGUGUUGGUGUAGUGUUAGGUUGUGUUGUGUAGUGUUGUGUUGUGUUGGUGUAGUGUAGUGUUGGUGUAGUGUAGUGUAGUGUUGUGUUGGUGUAGUGUAGUGUUGUGUUUUUUGUUGGGUUGUGUUGGUGUAGUGUAGUGUAGUGUAGUGUUGUGUUGGUGUAGUGUAGUGUAGUGUAAGUGUAGUGGUAGUGUUGGUGUAGUGUAGUGUAGUGUUGUGUUGGUGUAGUGUAGUGUUGUGUUUUUUGUUGGGUUGUGUUGGUGUAGUGUAGUGUUGUGUAGUGUAGUGUAGUGUUGUGUAGUGUAGUGUUGUGUUGGUGUAGUGUUGUGUUGGGUUGUGUUGGUGUAGUGUAGUGUUGUGUUGUAGUGUAGUGUAGUGUUGUGUUGGUGUAGUGUUGUGUUGUGUAGUGUAGUGUUGUAGUGUAGUGUUGUGUUGGUGUAGUGUUGGUGUAAUGUUAGUGUAGUGUUUGUGUCAGUGUAAUGUAGUGUUCGUGUCAGUGUAAUGUAGUGUAGUGUUUGUGUAAUGUAGUGUAGUGUUUGUGUCAGUGUAAUGUUAGUGUAAUGUAGUGUAGUGUUCGUGUCAGUGUAAUGUUAGUGUAAUGUAGUGUAGUGUUCGUGUCAGUGUAAUGUAGUGUAGUGUUGUGUUGUAGUGUAGUGUAGUGUUGUGUUGUGUAGUGUUGUAGUGUAGUGUUGUGUUGGUGUAGUGUUGUGUUGUGUAGUGUUGUAGUGUAGUGUAGUGUUGUGUUGGUGUAGUGUUGUGUUGUGUAGUGUUGUAGUGUAGUGUUGUGUUGGUGUAGUGUUGGUGUAAUGUUAGUGUAGUGUUUGUGUCAGUGUAAUGUUAGUGUAAUGUAGUGUUCGUGUCAGUGUAAUGUUAGUGUAAUGUAGUGUAGUGUUUGUGUCAGUGUAAUGUUAGUGUAAUGUAGUGUUCGUGUCAGUGUAAUGUAGUGUAAUGUAGUGUUCGUGUCAGUGUAAUGUAGUGUAGUGUUUGUGUCAGUGUAGUGUUAGUGUAAUGUAGUGUUCGUGUCAGUGUAAUGUUAGUGUAAUGUAGUGUUCGUGUCAGUGUAAUGUAGUGUAAUGUAGUGUUCGUGUCAGUGUAAUGUAGUGUAGUGUUUGUGUCAGUGUAAUGUUAGUGUAAUGUAGUGUAGUGUUUGUGUCAGUGUAAUGUUAGUGUAAUGUAGUGUUCGUGUCAGUGUAAUGUAGUGUAAUGUAGUGUAGUGUUUGUGUCAGUGUAAUGUUAGUGUAAUGUAGUGUAGUGUUUGUGUCAGUGUAAUGUUAGUGUAAUGUAGUGUAGUGUUUGUGUCAGUGUAGUGUUAGUGUAAUGUAGUGUAGUGUUUGUGUCAGUGUAAUGUUAGUGUAAUGUAGUGUAGUGUUUGUGUCAGUGUAAUGUUAGUGUAAUGUAGUGUAGUGUUUGUGUCAGUGUAGUGUUAGUGUAAUGUAGUGUAGUGUUCGUGUCAGUGUAAUGUUAGUGUAAUGUAUUGGAGUGUUUGUGUCAGUGUAAUGUUAGUGUAAUGUA